rnacentral:rRNA from 1 species
UAGGGAAUCUUCGGCAAUGGACGAAAGUCUGACCGAGCAACGCCGCGUGAGUGAAGAAGGCUUUCGGAUCGUAAAACUCUGUUGUUAGAGAAGAACAAGGACGUUAGUAACUGAACGUCCCCUGACGGUAUCUAACCAGAAAGCCACGGCUAACUACGUGCCAGCAGCCGCGGUAAUACGUAGGUGGCAAGCGUUGUCCGGAUUUAUUGGGCGUAAAGCGAGCGCAGGCGGUUUCUUAAGUCUGAUGUGAAAGCCCCCGGCUCAACCGGGGAGGGUCAUUGGAAGCUGGGAGACUUGAGUGCAGAAGAGGAGAGUGGAAUUCCAUGUGUAGCGGUGAAAUGCGUAGAUAUAUGGAGGAACACCAGUGGCGAAGGCGGCUCUCUGGUCUGUAACUGACGCUGAGGCUCGAAAGCGUGGGGAGCAAACAGG